rnacentral:lncRNA from 1 species
CAGCACCCAGGUCUUUUCCCACAGGGAGCAUUGUAAAAUAUCACUGGGCUCGGCCACCAGGUUAUGUGACCCUUCUGCCUGUGCCCUGCUUCCUGGAAAUGUGACAUUCCUCAUACAGCACCCAGGUGAUGUGACUCUUCUGCUCAUUUUCUACUUAUAGUUGGGAUUGUGACAAAUAUCCUGGCCCAACUCAUAGGUGCUAUGAUGAUUCCCGUACCUGGAAUCAGCCAAUAGGGAGAUAGUGUCUCUUGUAUUGUAGCCUAGGGAAACAAGUAAGAUCCUGGGCCUCCUCUUUGUAUGAAUGUCAUAAAGAGUUAUCAAUCUGACUGGGCAGUGUGGC